CUAUACGGUGAACUGCGAAUGGCUCAUUAAAUCAGUUAUCGUUUAUUUGAUAGUACCUUACUACAUGGAUAACCGUGGUAAUUCUAGAGCUAAUACAUGCUAAAAACCCCGACUUCGGGAGGGGUGUAUUUAUUAGAUAAAAAACCAAUGCCCUUCGGGGCUCCUUGGUGAAUCAUAAUAACUUAACGAAUCGCAUGGCCUUGCGCCGGCGAUGGUUCAUUCAAAUUUCUGCCCUAUCAACUUUCGAUGGUAGGAUAGUGGCCUACCAUGGUAUCAACGGGUAACGGGGAAUUAGGGUUCUAUUCCGGAGAGGGAGCCUGAGAAACGGCUACCACAUCCAAGGAAGGCAGCAGGCGCGCAAAUUACCCAAUCCCGACACGGGGAGGUAGUGACAAUAAAUACUGAUACAGGGCUCUUUUGGGUCUUGUAAUUGGAAUGAGUACAAUUUAAAUCCCUUAACGAGGAACAAUUGGAGGGCAAGUCUGGUGCCAGCAGCCGCGGUAAUUCCAGCUCCAAUAGCGUAUAUUAAAGUUGUUGCAGUUAAAAAGCUCGUAGUUGAACCUUGGGCCUGGCUGGCCGGUCCGCCUCACCGCGUGUACUGGUCCGGCCGGGCCUUUCCUUCUGGGGAGCCGCAUGGCCUUCACUGGCCGUGUCGGGGAACCAGGACUUUUACUUUGAAAAAAUUAGAGUGUUCAAAGCAGGCCUUUGCUCGAAUACAUUAGCAUGGAAUAAUAGAAUAGGACGUGCGAUCCUAUUUUGUUGGUUUCUAGGACCGCCGUAAUGAUUAAUAGGGAUAGUCGGGGGCAUCAGUAUUCAAUUGUCAGAGGUGAAAUUCUUGGAUUUAUUGAAGACUAACUACUGCGAAAGCAUUUGCCAAGGAUGUUUUCAUUAAUCAGUGAACGAAAGUUAGGGGAUCGAAGACGAUCAGAUACCGUCGUAGUCUUAACCAUAAACUAUGCCGACUAGGGAUCGGUGGAUGUUACUAUUAUGACUCCAUCGGCACCUUACGAGAAAU
rnacentral:rRNA from 1 species